GCUAAUGAUUACUCCUAGCGAAAAGUGAAGGAGGAAAGAGUAAAACAGAUAGUGGUUACUGCCAAGAUCCUAGAUUUUUGUUGGAAACAGUGCUCGCUACAUUAUACAAAACAACUAAUUUUUUAAAAGGAAAAAGGUUAGUCUAUGGAUUAACACAUGGCUCACUGUACGUGCCAUGAGCUCGGGAUGAUAGCUGAUCCAAUCCCAUAUACACCUGAAGUCUUGGGGCAGGGGCGGACCACGAGUCAGCGCGCCCCCACAGCACCAGGCUGAUGGCCCCGUGGUUCUUCUGCCUGCAAGCAAAAGUCUGCCACGAUCAUCCUUCUCCAUCUGCAACACCCAGGGUCUUUUCUAAAACUUUUGCCCAGUCGGCUCAGCCAAAAGGACACAGAAGCCCUGCAGAGGCUCUGAAACCAAGCUGCCAUGGCUCCCAGUUCGACAUCAUGUCACCGGAGCCUGCACAGAUGAACCAAGCUUGCAACACGGGAGGAACCUAAGCGCUGGACUGAGGGGCGGGACUGAAAUAAGAAGCGCACACCACAUGGCAAGAUCCAGGAUCCAAUCAGAUAGAGCCCUGGGUGUCAUCUAAUUGCAAGAUCCAAUCAGAACACACCUCAUUACCUUAUG
rnacentral:misc_RNA from 1 species